rnacentral:rRNA from 1 species
UACGUAGGGGGCAAGCGUUGUCCGGAUUUAUUGGGCGUAAAGAGCGUGUAGGCGGCUUUACAGGUCCGUUGUGAAAACUGGAGGCUCAACCUCCAGCUGUCGACGGAAACCGUAUGGCUAGAGUCCGGAAGAGGAGAGUGGAAUUCCUGGUGUAGCGGUGAAAUGCGCAGAUAUCAGGAAGAACACCAAUGGCGAAGGCAGCUCUCUGGGACGGUACUGACGCUGAGACGCGAAAGCGUGGGGAGCGAACAGG